GUUUUUUUUUUAGUUACCUCCAAUGGCCAUGAGAGGAUAAGCCCACCUGCCAACGUCAAGGCAGACCCCCCCCAGGUGGGUCCUAACUCUAACCAUUCACCUUGCUUCCUUGAGCUUCUGGCAAAGAUCUCUAAUGAGACAGAAAGGGGUAUUUUUUAUAUACACCCCUAUAUACUUAUUAACCCUUAAUAGGGAACACAUGGGAUGGGCGG